GGAUGUGAGGGCGAUCUGGCUGCGACAUCUGUCACCCCAUUGAUCGCCAGGGUUGAUUCGGCUGAUCUGGCUGGCUAGGCGGGUGUCCCCUUCCUCCCUCACCCCUCCAUGUGCGUCCCUCCCGAAGCUGCGUGCUCGGUCAAAGAGGACGACCUUCCCCGAUAGAGGAGAGGACCGUUCUUCAGUCAAGGGUAUACGAGUAGCUGCGCUUCCCUGCUAGAACCUCCAAACAAGCUCUCAAGGUCCAUUUGUAGAACAUAGGGUAGUCAAGCUUCCAAGACUCAAAAAAAAAAAAAAAAAUUAAGGAAAAAUUGGAGCUUCUUGUCAAUACUGAUAUUUU
rnacentral:snRNA from 1 species